UACGUAGGGUGCGAGCGUUAAUCGGAAUUACUGGGCGUAAAGCGUGCGCAGGCGGCGCGUUAAGACAGGUGUGAAAGCCCCCGAGCUUAACUUGGGAAUUGCGCUUGUGACUGGCGUGCUGGAGUGUGGCAGAGGGAGGUGGAAUUCCACGUGUAGCAGUGAAAUGCGUAGAGAUGUGGAGGAACACCGGUGGCGAAGGCGGUCUGCUGGGCAGUUGCUGACACUGAGGCGCGACAGCGUGGGGGAGCAAACAGG
rnacentral:rRNA from 1 species